AGAGAUCAUGGCUCAGAUUGAACGCUGGCGGCGUGCCUAACACAUGCAAGUCGAGCGGUAACAGGUGUAGCAAUACAUGCUGACGAGCGGCGGACGGGUGAGCAAUGUUUGGGAAUCUGCCUAUUAGUGGGGGACAACCCGGGGAAACUCGGGCUAAUACCGCAUACGCACCAUGGUGGAAAGCCGGGGACCGCAAGGCCUGGCGCUAAUAGAUGAGCCCAAAUCGGAUUAGCUAGUUGGUGGGGUAAUGGCCCACCAAGGCUACGAUCCGUAGCUGGUCUGAGAGGACGACCAGCCACACCGGAACUGAGACACGGUCCGGACUCCUACGGGAGGCAGCAGUGGGGAAUAUUGGACAAUGGGCGAAAGCCUGAUCCAGCGACGCCGCGUGGGUGAAGAAGGCCUGCGGGUUGUAAAGCCCUUUCGGUGGGGAAGAAAAGCCUCGACCUAACACGUCGGGGUCUUGACGUAACCCAAGAAAGAAGCACCGGCUAACUCUGUGCCAGCAGCCGCGGUAAUACAGAGGGUGCGAGCGUUAAUCGGAAUUACUGGGCGUAAAGCGCGCGUAGGCGGCUUUGCAAGUCGAGUGUGAAAUCCCCGGGCUUAACCCGGGAACUGCAUUCGAGACUGCAUAGCUAGAGUAUGGGAGAGGGAAGUGGAAUUUCAGGUGUAGCGGUGAAAUGCGUAGAUAUCUGAAGGAACAUCAGUGGCGAAAGCGACUUCCUGGACCAAUACUGACGCUCAUGUGCGAAAGCGUGGGGAGCAAACAGGAUUAGAUACCCUGGUAGUCCACGCCAUAAACGAUGACAACUGGAUGUCGGGAGGGUCUGCCUCUCGGUGUCGUAGCUAACGCGUUAAGUUGUCCGCCUGGGGAGUACGGCCGCAAGGUUGAAACUCAAAGGA
rnacentral:rRNA from 1 species